UGGCAGUGCUUUCGAUGC
rnacentral:piRNA from 1 species